rnacentral:lncRNA from 1 species
UUUGGUAUCAGAGCCGACCUAACAUUUGGGCAUGGUGAGGGGGCUCGAGUAGGAAAGGGCUACCCGUAGACGGAGUCAGAGGACUCGUCACGGCGUGGAGCCACCACUGGGCUACGCCUCACAUGCACUAUGCUAGGGUUUGAUCUGGGUUAUGUUGGGUCUUGACGAGGACGUCAAGCCUUUGAGUGGGGGUGAUUGUAACAUCCUUGAUUAGUCCCACAUCGAAAGUGGGCAAGAUUAAGAUUGGCUUAUAAGGGUCUGAUGAGUGUACUACUAUCAACUUCAGCUUAAGCAUUUUGGUCAGUGGUUUAGACCAAACGAAGUUGAUAGGCCAGUUAGCCUAUCAGGCCCGAGUCAUAAUAUUUGGUAUCAAAGCCAACCUAGCAUUUGUGUAUGGUGAGGGGGCUCGAGUAGGAAAGGACUACCCGUAGACGGAGUCAGAGGACUCGUCACGGCGUGGAGCCACCACUAGGCUACGCCUCACAUGCACUAUGCUAGGGUUUGAUCUGGGUUAUGUUAGGGCUUGACGAGAACGUCAAGCCUUUGAGUGGGGGUGAUUGUAACACCCCUGAUUAAUCCCACAUUGAAA